UGCAUCCUCAAUUCCGUAGUGCAUUGCAGUCGAUUAUUCGAUUUACGUGAGAGAACCUGCAAGCACCGCGGGAGUGAGGUGGCUUC
rfam:Camponotus floridanus CamFlo_1.0_1.contig6453, whole genome shotgun sequence.